GACGGAGGAUGCAAGCGUUAUCCGGAAUUAUUGGGCGUAAAGCGUCCGCAGGUGGACAUACAAGUCUGCUGUCAAAGUGCAGAGCUUAACUCUGUAAAGGCGGUGGAAACUGUAGGUCUUGAGUAUGGUAGGGGUAGAGGGAAUUCCCGGUGUAGCGGUGAAAUGCGUAGAUAUCGGGAAGAACACCAGUGGCGAAGGCGGCUCACUGGCCCGAUACUGACGCUGAGGCACGAAAGCGUGGGGAGCAAACAGG
rnacentral:rRNA from 1 species